rnacentral:rRNA from 1 species
GAAUCUUAGACAAUGGGGGCAACCCUGAUCUAGCCAUGCCGCGUGAGUGAUGAAGGCCUUAGGGUUGUAAAGCUCUUUCAGCGGGGAAGAUAAUGAUGGUACCCGCAGAAGAAGCCCCGGCUAACUCCGUGCCAGCAGCCGCGGUAAUACGGAGGGGGCUAGCGUUGUUCGGAAUUACUGGGCGUAAAGCGCACGUAGGCGGAUGCUUAAGUCAGGGGUGAAAUCCCGGGGCUCAACCCCGGAACUGCCUUUGAUACUGGGUGUCUGGAGGUCGAGAGAGGUGAGUGGAAUUCCGAGUGUAGAGGUGAAAUUCGUAGAUAUUCGGAGGAACACCAGUGGCGAAGGCGGCUCACUGGCUCGAACCUGACGCUGAGGUGCGAAAGCGUGGGGAGCAAACAGG